rnacentral:rRNA from 1 species
AGGACGAACGCUGGCGGCGUGCUUAACACAUGCAAGUCGAGCGGAAAGGCCCUUCGGGGUACUCGAGCGGCGAACGGGUGAGUAACACGUGAGUAACCUGCCCCUAGCUCUGGGAUAACUCCGGGAAACCGGGGCUAAUACCGGAUACGACCCGAGAAGACAUCUUCUCGGGUGGAAAGUUUUUCGGCUCGGGAUGGGCCCGCGGCCUAUCAGCUUGUUGGUGGGGUAAUGGCCUACCAAGGCGACGACGGGUAGCC